AGUCAACUCUUCGACCACACACCAGACACACUCUUUUUCAUUUGAUGUGACACAGUUUUUUUUUUUUUUUUUUCAUCUUUUUCCCAGUCUGCCACUAUGAUAAACCCUCUGAUCAUCGGCAUCAUUACUGUAAACACAUCUCUGACCGUCGUCUACUGGGCCUUCCUCCUGGGCGACUCUUACAUAAAGUGGAUGGCAGAGACAGAGGACAAACCCAAGAGGAUUGUCACCCCAGCCUAAGGGGCCACAGCAUGGAUCUACCUGAGUGACUGGCUGCUGAGGAAUAGUCUGUAAUGGCAGUUAUGCUUGUAGCGCUUUCUGUGGAGAAGCUUUUUCUUUGAUUUCUGCUUUCCAUUUACCUGGGAAGUAACUGAUCCAGGAGUUGUAGUUACAGAGUUGCCACUAUAGAGAUUAUGCUUGUCUGGAACCUAUUUUAUCCAAAAAUCUAAAUAUAAAGAUGAGGAGCGAUCCUUUUUCCUGACCACUGACUGGAUCUUUGGCCCCAAACCAGUGGAGGAGGAUCCAGAGGGAGAGGAAGCAGAAUUAGAGGAUGAGCGAAAACUCAGCGUUUCCAGUUACCACAUGGAGUCCAGAGAUGAGCUGAGGAUGGAGAAAGAAAGAGAGAUGCUUCUGCCGGGUUUCCACCAGGGAGACGGGGGCUGCCGUCGUCCAUCUCCCCCUCCUCCGCGGAGAAGUGCCAUCACUUCAUCUUACCCCGGAGAAAAAAGGAUGUCCACUCAUAGUGUGACCUUCGCCUGUCCCAUUGCCCCUUGUGUCACUGCUCUUUAAGUUUUCCUGGCUUCAUCUCAGCAGCAGCUCAGAUCAGUUUUUAUCACAUGUCGUGUGUGUUUGGAGUAUUUGCUUUGCAGUAGAUAUGCAAAAGCAAGUUUAGUUGUAGCUUGUGCUCAUUUUUACCAAAAAAUGCUCUCUUAUUGCAACUAUUAAGUAGAUAGAUAAAUGAAACCAAUAUCCAAUAACUCAACUCUGUUUUGUUAUGAUGUUAUAUAUAUUAAAAUAUAUAAAGAAUGAAAAAUAUGUGUUAUCAUGUGAAAUACAUUUCUUUCAUGUAUACAUAUAUGAAAAAAUAUAUAAUUCUAAUCAGAAAUUGUUUAAAAACUGUAAAAACCUGAAGGACAACAGUGAUUUAAAAUGUUUUUCUGACAUCACACAUUGUUCUCAUCUGUUACUGAAAACCAGUGUGAUCACUCUCCUUGUUCAUGUGGGCUAAGCACUGUCCCAAUA